rnacentral:rRNA from 1 species
UACGUAGGGGACAAGCGUUGUCCGGAUUUAUUGGGCGUAAAGCGCUCGCAGGUGGUUCAUUGCGUCGUGCGUGAAAGACCCCGGCUCAACUGGGGAGGGUCGUGCGAAACGGGUGAACUAGAGGCCAGUAGGGGGAUGCGGAAUUCCGGGUGUAGUGGUGGAAUGCGUAGAGAUCCGGAGGAACACCAGCGGCGAAGGCGGCAUCCUGGACUGGUCCUGACACUCAGGAGCGAAAGCGUGGGGAGCGAUCCGG